CCUACGGGUGGCAGCAGUGAGGAAUAUUGGUCAAUGGACGAGAGUCUGAACCAGCCAAGUAGCGUGAAGGAUGACUGCCCUAUGGGUUGUAAACUUCUUUUAUAAAGGAAUAAAACGAGGCACGUGUGCCUUUUUGCAUGUACUUUAUGAAUAAGGAUCGGCUAACUCCGUGCCAGCAGCCGCGGUAAUACGGAGGAUCCGAGCGUUAUCCGGAUUUAUUGGGUUUAAAGGGAGCGUAGAUGGGUUGUUAAGUCAGUUGUGAAAGUUUGCGGCUCAACCGUAAAAUUGCAAUUGAUACUGGCAGUCGUGAGUACAGUUGAGGUAGGCGGAAUUCGUGGUGUAGCGGUGAAAUGCUUAGAUAUCACGAAGAACCCCGAUGGCGAAGGCAGCUUACUAAACUGUGACUGACAUUGAUGCUCGAAAGUGUGGGUAUCAAACAGGAUUAGAUACCCCGGUAGUC
rnacentral:rRNA from 1 species